rnacentral:tRNA from 1 species
GUGAGUGUAGCUCAGUCGGUUAGAGCGACGGUCUGUGGAACCGUAGGUCGUGGGUUCAAGUCCCAUCACUCACCCCA